GACGAACGCUGGCGGCGUGCCUAAUACAUGCAAGUUGAGCGAUGAAGAUUGGUGCUUGCACCAAUUUGAAGAGCAGCGAACGGGUGAGUAACGCGUGGGGAAUCUGCCUUUGAGCGGGGGACAACAUUUGGAAACGAAUGCUAAUACCGCAUAACAACUUUAAACAUAAGUUUUAAGUUUGAAAGAUGCAAUUGCAUCACUCAAAGAUGAUCCCGCGUUGUAUUAGCUAGUUGGUGAGGUAAAGGCUCACCAAGGCGAUGAUACAUAGCCGACCUGAGAGGGUGAGCGGCCACAUUGGGACUGAGACACGGCCCAAACUCCUACGGGAGGCAGCAGUAGGGAAUCUUCGGCAAUGGACGAAAGUCUGACCGAGCAACGCCGCGUGAGUGAAGAAGGUUUUCGGAUCGUAAAACUCUGUUGGUGGAGAAGAACGUUGGUGAGAGUGGAAAGCUCAUCAAGUGACGGUAACUACCCAGAAAGGGACGGCUAACUACGUG
rnacentral:rRNA from 1 species